rnacentral:rRNA from 1 species
UACGUAGGGGCCGAGCGUUGUCCGGAGUUACUGGGCGUAAAGCGCACGCAGGCGGCGCAUCGCGCCCGGCGUGAAAGCCCCCGGCUCAACCGGGGAGGGUCGUCGGGGACGGGUGCGCUUGAGGACGGCAGGGGCAGGUGGAAUUCCCGGUGUAGUGGUGAAAUGCGUAGAGAUCGGGAGGAACACCCGUGGCGAAGGCGGCCUGCUGGGCCGAUCCUGACGCUGAGGCGCGAAGGCGUGGGGAGCGAACGGG